rnacentral:rRNA from 1 species
UACGGAGGGUGCGAGCGUUGCUCGGAAUUAUUGGGCGUAAAGCGUACGCAGGCGGCUCGAUAAGUCGAGUGUGAAAUCCCGGAGCUCAACUCCGGAAGUGCAUUCGAUACUGUCAAGCUUGAGUGCGGGAGAGGGAAGCGGAAUUCCUGGUGUAGAGGUGAAAUUCGUAGAUAUCAGGAGGAACACCGGUGGCGAAAGCGGCUUCCUGGCCCGACACUGACGCUCAUGUACGAAAGCGUGGGGAGCAAACAGG